ensembl:lncRNA
GUUUUCCAUUGGAACCGACAAGGUCCUGAAGGAAAGAGUCACAAUGCCAGCUCUCUCAGUGAAAGAGGAGAGAGGACAUCUCACUGGAUUUACACAACUCUUUCCAGACUCUCCAGUCUUCCUGAAGGAAACAGCUACAACAAACAAACAAUUAUGUGGAUUUAAAGAGGGAUUCUCAAGGAACCUGGCGAGAACGUUUAAAAACACACGAUCGGAUAGGUGACUUUUUUGUCAUUUUGGCUCCAAAUCCCUGAACUCCUAAUGAUGUAUGAAUCCCUAGGAGGAGUAAGACUGAAGCUCAUUCAAGUGCUCUCCUGCUCAAGGACCUGCCUCGAUCAUCACACAUCGUUUCCACAACAUUCCCAGAGUGCUUCUGUCACGUCAUAGCAACGUUUGCCCAUUUGUAAAAUGGUCCUUUAGCCAAAUACAGUGGCAAUUAUAUUUGUAUUUUGUAAUAAUAAAAAAUAACCCAGUGGGGGCUCUUCUCUCUGCUUGCUUGUACUACGGUUGUUUUACGAGAGCUCUUGUAAUGAUUUUACUCUCAUGUAGCCUAUGCCUCCCAAUCCGUCAUUUCAAAGCUAUUUUGAUCAAAUUCUUUCAACUCUGCACUGGACAUACCAAGGGGGUCUUGGGUCAAAACUAGUGCACUACAUUGUGAAUAAGAUGCACAAUAUAGUGAAUAGGUCGCCAUUUGAGACAACCAGAUAUACUAAUCUCCCUCCACUAGGUUCUCAGGAAUGGUCAAAGUUUUCCAUUCUAAAAUAACUUCUGUUGUC